UGGAGUUGUUAAGCAGCUUGCCCAAAGUCACCUUGCAGAAGAUCCCUCUGGCUGCCGUGGAGAAUGGAUUGGAAGGAGCCAGAAUGCCUGAGGAAGAUAGAGCUUUUAGGAGUCUGUUGUAGUUGCACAGGCGGUUAGUUACUAGAGGAUGUUUGCCGCCAAGAUGGAGCCAAUGCUGAAAGAGGAAGACAUUAGGAGCUCCAACACAGAUGGCAGGAAUCCUCAGGAUGACUUGGAGAGCAACCAGUCCAGACUGUAGCAAGUCAGGUUCUGGGGAAGGCUACUUCAUAAGGAUGAACAAUUUGAGAGAGACUUAGACAAUCAGCAACAAGGUUGGGGUUGAAUUGGUAAUAAAUACAUGAAAACUAAGCCAGUGGGACAGUUAAUAUUAGAUGAGA
rnacentral:lncRNA from 1 species